GAUGAAGAACGUAGCGAAAUGCGAUAAGUAGUGUGAAUUGCAGAAUUCAGUGAAUCAUCGAAUCUUUGAACGCACAUUGCGCCCCUUGGUAUUCCAUGGGGCAUGCCUGUUCGAGCGUCAUUUGUACCUUCAAGCUCUGCUUGGUGUUGGGUGUUUGUCUCGCCUCUGCGUGUAGACUCGCCUCAAAAUAAUUGGCAGCCGGCGUAUUGAUUUCGGAGCGCAGUACAUCUCGCGCUUUGCACUCAUAACGACGACGUCCAAAAGUACAUUUUUACACUCUUGACCUCGGAUCAGGUAGGGAUACCCGCUGAACUUAAGCAUAUCAAUAGCGGAGGA
rnacentral:misc_RNA from 1 species